rnacentral:tRNA from 1 species
GUCAGUGUGGCCGAGUGGUUAAGGCGACAGACUUGAAUAACAUGAGCAUUUAAGGCAUUUGCUAUGUUCAUGAAAUAUUUAAUUAUCUGUUGAGUUCGCUCUCGCAAGUUCGAAUCUUGUCGCUGACG